UUGGUCUGUGAGAAAGGCAGUCGCCAGAUGGCUAAUAAAGACUCCUGAUUUGAUCUCUAAGUCUCGCUGGGUUUUAAUCGGUGCACCCCUCAACAGUUGGAGGCCCCAGCAAGAUUUUCCCCUGUCCCUCUUGGUAGGGCUGGAUUGGCUCCUACACUGUGUUCUAGGCCACGAGGAAGGCUCAGGGGGCAGCCGCUGAGAGUCAUUCUGCAGCCGCGAGCUGAGGCUUUUCAACACGGAUUUCAGAGUCUCCAAGUUUAACUUGAAGGAGUCGUCUGGUACCUCGCCGCCUUACAGGUUCAAAGGGUGAUUUUCAGGAAACCAGGUCAUCCUGACCAGGCCCCGCAUGCUGAGUCUGGAUGGACUUCCUCUUCAACCCCCCAACAUGGCUGAAAGCCAGCCUAAAGAAACAGAUCCAUCAGUACCUGUAACUCCGAGAACCUCAGAGCAUUCCCAGUCGACUGAUCAGGGUCAGGAGAAGACCGGCCUCGUUAGCCCUAUGCACAUGCGGAGUGGGUUUGGGAAUCAACUUUACCCACAGGUGCCGGAGGCUCCAUUUUCCACCCAACCCCUUGCUCCAGGCCUCCCUCUACACCAGGUCACUUCCCCAUUAGGGGAAGGCAGACCUCCCUGCAUGGUCUAUGUUCCCUUUUCCACUAGCAGCUUGUGUAACUGGAAACAGUAAAACCCCUCUUUUUUGGAAAAACCGCAGGGUCUAAUCUCUCUUCUGAGUCUGUUUUCUUCCCUCACCAACCGACUUGGGAUGACUGCCAGCAGCUUCUCCAGACUCUUUUCACCUCGGAGGAGAGAGGUCACAUCAGGCGAGAGGGCCAAAAACUGGUCUUGGGUCCCAAUAACAGACAACCUUCCUCUGAACCCAUCAUUCAGGAGAGAGUAUUUCCCCUUAGCCACCCUGAUUGGGACCCAAAUGAUCCUAGAGGUAAGGAGGCUCUCGAUCGGUAUCACCAGAUUCUCUUAAGGGGGCACAUGUGGCAGCAAAAAAAAGCCAACUAAUUUAGCUAAGGUAAGCGAGACCACCCAGAAGCCAGAUGAGUCUCUGCAGCUUUUCUUGAGCACCUCUUUGAAGCAUUCCAUGUGUAUACCCCAUACCCGAAAGUACCUGAGAAUAGACAAACUGUUUAAUGUGGCAUUUGUAUCCCCGUCAGCCCCCGAUAUUAGACUAAGCUACAAAGAGAAAGCUUCUUUCUGAAUUGGUAGAAGUGGAUCAAUGGAUCUAAAAUAAUAAAGAUGACCCUGCUACUACCCAGACAAAAAGAUGGCCAGAAUUAUGGUGGUAGCCUUUACAGCAAAACCCUGGAGGUCAGGCCAAACAAGGGCCCACUGAGGUGAGAUCGUAAGAUCAGUAUGCUUACUGCAAGGAGGAUGCACACUGGAAAAAAUGACCCAAAAGGAAUCAAAAAAAAGAUCAAAGCUUCUCCCAGUUUUGGUGGUGGAGGGUGACUGAUGGGACCAUGGCUCCAUACCUUUAAGCCCUCAGGAGCCCAUGGUCACGUUAGAAGUAGGAGGCAAGCCUAUUAGAUUUUUGGUAGGCAUCGGAGCAACUCAUUCCGUGUUACAGAAAGUGGAAGGACCAGUUAUGGAGGGGGAAAAAAUAUUCAGGGGGCUACAGGAAAAACCAAAAAAAAAAUCCAUGCACGAGGACUGGGCUCACCAAUUUGGGAAAGGAAACUGUUACUCCUUCUUGGUGAUGCCAAACCGUCCCUAUCCCUUGCUGGGGAGGCAUUUUCUCAGAAAACUGCAGGCCACAGGAUAGGGUGGAGAUUCGACUGAAUGAUCUUUUAACUCAGGUCCACCAUCUCGCUUACAUGCCCCCUGUCUGAGGAGCAUCGUUUAACAACUGAAACCAAUUCUACUCCACCAAACACUGAUUGCCCCAGAGCUUAAAGAAUAAAAUUCCUGAGGUUUGGGCAGAGAACAAUCCCCCUGGACUGGCCACCCACUGGCUCCCCCAUCAUUGUCUAACCAGCUCUGCCAAAAAAAUCCAUGUUUGGCGAUACCCAACUGGCCUAAAAGCAAAGAGGAAUAGCUGUUCACACUGAUGGACUCCAGAAGUCGAGCAUACUUGUUCCCUGCCAGCCAGCAUAGAACAUACCUUUGUUACCCAUCUGAAAGCCUGAGACCCCCAAUUACUGGCCAACACAAGAUCUACAGGUCAGUAAAUGGGUCGAGACCAUCCACACCACAGUGCCUAACCUGUACACACUUCUAAGUCUCUUGCCUCCUAGUCACCAGAUGUACUCCAUCCUGGAUUUAAAGGAUGCCUUCUUCAGUCUUCCUCUGGCCACAGUAAGUCAGCCUAUUUUUUUUUUCUUUGAGUGGAUGGACCCCUAAAAGGGUUUCUCGGGACAAUUAACAUGGACUAGAUUGCCAGUACAGACAACAAUACCCAGAGGUCAUACUACUACAGUAUGUAGACGACCUCCUCUUGGUUGCGAAAACUGAGGCCGAGUGCUCUCGUGCCACUGAGGACUUGCUCCAAGAAUUGGCAGCUCUGGGACACCGCGUAUCCCAUCAAAAGGCCAAGCUCUGUGUGCCUGUGACCACCUACUUGGGAUAUGAGCUAAAGAAAGGGAGGGAGGCAUUGUCAUCCAGCCGCACAGAGGCCAUCCUUAAGAUACCCCACCAAAAACAAGUCGGAGUUCUUAAGGGCCAUAGGCUACUGUCAUCUUUGUAUUCCAAGCUUCGCAGAAAUGGCCUGGCCCCUAUAUGCCAGCACGGGGGGAUGAGAGGACACUCUAGUGGACUGAGACCAAGAGUAAGGCCUUCCAAGCCCUAAAGACCCUUAUGAGCACCCUGGCCCUGACCCUCCCAGACUUGUCAAAGCCCUUUCAGCUGUAUGUGGCAGAAGCCUGGGGUAUCACCAAGGGGGUCCUAACCCAAGCCCUGAGACCGUGGAAAAGACCCGAAGCCUAUAUCUAAAAGAUUGGACUAUGUAGCUGCCAGAUGGCCAGGAUGUUUAAGGGCUGUGGUAGUUAUGGCUACCCUCACCAAGGAAGCCUCAAAGCUGACUCUGGAUCAGGACUUACAAAUAGUGGCACCCCACUCACUGGAAGCUUUACUGCAGAGCGUUCCAGAGGUGGCUCUCAAAUGCAAGAAUUGCCCAAUACCUGGUACUGCUCCUAGACCCACCAAGAAUCAAAUUCCUAAAAGCUGCUUUAAAUCCCGCCACCUUGCUUCCUGAUGAUCCAUCUGAGCCCAUCCACGAUUGCAAGGGGGUGCUGGAGUCCUUAACCAAACCGAGGGCAGACCUGACUGACACCCUGCUGAAAGACCCAGACGCUGUUUUGUUCACCGACAGGAGCAGCUUUAACUCUGAAGGAGAAAGGUACACAGGUGCAGCCGUAGCAUAGUCACUUCCUCAGAAGUUGGGCUCCAGCAUUAGCACAUGGAACUUCUGCUCAGAGUUAACAGCACUAACUCAGGCUUUAAGAUGGAGCAAGAAAAUCAACAUCUACGUGGACAGCAAGUAUGCUUUUGCCACUGACCAUGUUCAUGGGGCACUGUAUAAAGGGGGGUCUUCUAACACCUGGAGAAAAACAUAAAAUGUGUCAUCUCAGCCCGGUUAGAAUCAGUGUGGCUACCAAGGAAAGGAGCUAUCAUUCACUGCAAGGGACGUCAGAACUCAGUCCCCAGAGGCCAAGGGAACUGCAUUCGCAGACAGAACAACUUGGAAAGCUGCCUUAACCAGUGGGGCCUCCCUGGAUUCUCCCCAUUGCACCUGUCCAAACUCUGCAAAAGGCUCCCAUCUACACAGGAGGAAAAAGUCAAAGGACAUUCUAGGGGCUAAGAUGGACCAUGAGAGAUGGAUGUGCCUUCCUGAUAGGAGGCCACUCCUCCCAACAGCAGUCGGCCAAAGACUGAUGGCCAAAGUCCAUCAUAGCACCCAUCCAGGAAGUACAAAAUUAACUGAGUUACUACAAUGCCACCAUUACAUCCCCGGACUAGAUUAGCAGAUGCAUCAACUCUCAUCCCGAUGUCAUAUCUGCACCCAGGUAAACCCGGGAUGAAGAGGUAAGUUAGCCCAAGGGACACAGUUACAGGGAAAGUCCCCCAGAGAACAUUGGGAAUUGGAAUUUACUGAAAUGUUACCUGGAAAACAUGGUUACUGUUAUCUUCUGGUUUUUGACACAUUUUCUUGGUGGGUAGAAGCCUACCCUACCAAAGCAGAAAUAGCCCGAGUGGUAGUAAAGAAAUUAGCUUAUGAGAUUGUCCCCAGACUCAGUCUCCCACUAAAAAUGGGGUCCAAUGGGCUUGCAUUCAUUGCUCAGGUGACUCAAUCACUAGCUAAGGUGUUAAUGAUAUAUUAGAAGCUACAUUGUGCCUACAGACCCCAGAGUUUGGGAUAGGUAGAAUGAAUAGGACCCUAAAGGAAACAUUAAUAACAUUUAAAAUGAGAAACUGGUGAGAACUGGGUGAGCCUCCUUCCCUUCGCCCUAUUACAGGCAUGGUGUACUCCUUAUGUAAAAGGUGUCAUCCCCUAUGAGAAUGUUUGGAAGGCUGCCACCCGUACUCCCCAAACCAGGGGAGGAACGUUUGGCAGAAUUGGAUAAUGGCUCCCAUCUUAAGUCCUUUUAGGCUCUGCAGACAGUCCUCCAAGCCCACCCCCUGGUGAAAGCUACGAAACCAGAUCUCCCCCAGUCAACCUCUAAUGCUGACGUCUGCAACAUUCAUCCCAGAGAAUUGGUGUAGAUAAAGAAACAACCCCUCUACCCUUGAGACGGUGGACUGGAUCUUUACCUGUAAUCCUGAGCACGCCAAUGGUAGUUAUAGUAGUGGGAAGACAUUGUUGGAUCCACUACACUCAGGUGAAAAGAGCCUCAUCUGAAGCCCUGGAAUGAAGGACCGCCAGCCCUUCAGGAGAUCUGCUAAAGAUAAGACUUUCCCCUGCUUCAUAAAUGCUAACAGGGGAGGGUGUGGACUCACUUCACCACACUUGGGAAUUAGAGACCACUUGAUGGAGUUGCUAUUGCAACUAUUCAGCGGGAAAUCCCACUUUCUAUAUUGAUCCAUGUAAAUUGGCAGAGGAUAAUUGGUUAAAUGAGUGUAACCUGAACCGACAGCAGGCUAUGGGUGCGGUGAAAUGUGUGUCCAGCUCCUCCAGGAAGCCCCAGAGGGAGGGAGAUGGCCAUUUCCAGAUGCCUGGGGUUGUGAAACCAUAGUGGACUGGAUCGAAAUUGGGGGAAGGGACCACCAUAUUAGCCUUACCUUCAGUGGGUACGUGAAAAGCUGUAGCAGUCUAGCCACUUGUAACCCCAUCAUAACACGGCCAAGGGAAGGUUGGCAGACUGGACAUACCUGGGGCGUAAAACUGUCUCCCUGGACAACCCCAGGUUCAAGUUCACCAUAUAGAGGUUGUGGCCCAAACCCCCCACUUAAUCCUAUCGGUCCAGUGAGGGAUAUGAUACCUCAGUUGCCACCAGUAAGACCCCCACACACACACACCCAGAACUGCCACCAGUAACAGCCAACUUGGCAGUAAGCGCCCCAGAAAGUCUUACCCUCCCACAGCCUUGCUGCCUUGGGAAAGGGUUCGUAGACCCCUAUUGGACCCCAUGUGUCUCAAAUGCUGGGUUUACUAGAACCAAUUGGACUGAGCUGUGUGUCCUUAUAAGAAGACUCAACGAUUUGACUUCCAAGUAAAACCAAUGGGGAAUGUGACAAGGCGGGGUGCUCUAAAAAUGUAAAACCUCAGCCAGUAAAAGCAAAGCUGUGUGGGUGGUAUUGAUUGAACAUUAAGGAAACCUUUGGUGCUGGAGGACUUCAGAUGCUGGACAUCUGUGCUAGCCACUGACAUCAGGUGGGAGUAGGUGUUGGUUAGUGAUUGGCUAACUGCUUCCCACUUGCUCACUGUGCGAUUAACUUCUGAUAACAGAAUGUGGUUUUGCCUUUAAAAACCCCCCACUACUGCAACUCGCUGCUGUUUUCUAUGGACUUGCUCAGAGAAAGGCAGUGGCCAGCUGGCUAAUAAAGACUCCUACUUAUGACUCAA